rnacentral:tRNA from 1 species
GUCCCGGUAGCUCAAUCGGAAGAGCAACAGCCUUCUAAGCUGUCGGUUGCAGGUUCGAGUCCUGCCCGGGAUACAA